AGUAUGAACUUGUGUUCCAAAGACAAAAAAUAAAACUACGUGCUGCCCCAAACAAUAACCGUUUAUUAUAAUUCACACGACAUAUUUAGUCCGUGAUUGUUAUAACUUAUAAUCGAGGAAUAUAAAGUUAUAUUAUUUUUUUGAUUUAAUUAAAUUAAAAUAACGAAAUAUAUACAUAUUUAACUAAAAGCAAGUUACCUGAUAAGGAGUUUUAAUAAUAUACCCGUAUACCAAGGAAGGCUACAUGAACUCCAAGAGAAUACAGGCCUUGCUAGAUAGUGAUGAUGAGUAUCCAUCUACAUACAAAGAAGAACCGGCGCUUCCUGCAUAUCAAAAUGAUUACAGAUUUGAACCUAUAGUAUUCAAAUGGAUAAAAAAUUGUGUAUCUGUUUCACAGCAGAAAAGAAAAUCUCAAAAACUGGAUAAUAUUAGGAAUGAAUAUAUAACCAAAGGGUAUUUAAGUCAAAAAGAUUUAUUUUGUCUUAAAGCAGUAGCUAAAACUUCCAAUGACGAUACAUUUUUAUGGUUGGUAGACUUCUUUGUACGCAAGGAUAUUCAGUCCAGAUAUGGAAGCAAUCUCAAAAGUUGUCUUAUUGUUAAUUUCCCAGAAACACCAGAAAUACCCAUUAAUAAACGAACUGAGGAGCAAAAAUUUUACAAGAAAUAUAAAAUAGUUGUCAAAGUUUAAAAUAACAAUGCUAGGGAAAUAGUUUACUGUAUUAUUAAUGAGCUAUGUUUAAUAAAAGUUGAUAAUUAUGAACA